rnacentral:rRNA from 1 species
AGCAGCCGCAGUAAUUCCAGCUCCAAUAGCGUAUAUUAAAGUUGUUGCAGUUAAAAAGCUCGUAGUUGAAUUUCGGAAUCAGUACGCCAGUCAUGCUUCGGUAUGUACUAGUGUCACUGAUUCCUUCCUUCUGACGAACCGUCAUGCCAUUAAUUUAGUGUGAUGUGGAAUCAGGACUGUUACUUUGAAAAAAUUGAGUGUUUAAAGAAGGCUCGCGCUUGGAUACAUUAGCAUGGAAUAAUGAAAUAGGACGUUUGAUCUUAUUUUGUUGGUUUCUAGGAUCGAUGUAAUGAUUAAUAGGGAUAGUUGGGGGCAUUAGUAUUCAAUUGUCAGAGGUGAAAUUCUUGGAUUUAUUGAAGACUAGCUACUGCGAAAGCAUUUGCCAAGGAUGUUUUCAUUAAUCAAGAACGAAAGUUAGAGGAUCGAAGACAAUCAAAU